GGAGUAGUACUCAAGAGGCUGAAGAGGACGCACUGCUAACGCGUUAGGGGGAGCAAUCCCCGCGGAGGUUCAAAUCCUCUCUACUCCGCCA
rnacentral:tRNA from 1 species